AGCAGAACAGUGAAGCUCCAGUCAGGCCGGCUGAAGAAUGAGCUAAGACUCACUCACUAUGAGCUGCAGGCUCAGCUGAUAAUUCUCUGUAAAUUCAUCACUCUUGUCACAUUCUCCCACUUGUCAUUCGAUACGUAGCUGCUGUAAUAUACCAGUUAACAGCUUCCACCCUGUUUGGUUGCGUUGUAUUUUCUGUGAUGACUAAAUGGAGCCUCCGGCACAGAGCACAUGCACAAAACUCCCACCAUUCACCAAGUCGUCAUUCCUUUCAACUCCCUCGGGCCAGGUUGUAACAGCUAUUAGACGUGUAAAGGUUUUUCUUGUUUACUUAGCGUAUGACUCACCCUCAAAAAUCCCUCGGCUUGUGAUGAAAACACCAGACAAGUCUGAAUAACAUAGUAUCAGAAGAAUCAGUAGGAGAAGUGGGUCAAGUUAACAUCACUCUGUCUGGGUAAUCUAUCCAUGGUUUUGAAUUAGGCUACAGUUAGCUAAAAAAGAAAUAAUCCAGCACCAGAUAGAGUCUAUUGCCCCCCUGUGAAGAAAUACUGAAGCCUUCCUCCUUCAUAUUGAUGCUGUAUUGACUGUGUACCUGCCAUGAAUCAGAUCAAACCGUUAAACCAAAAGCUGCCCAGUAAAUGUGAUUCUGGUCUCCAUCCUCCUCCUCCUCCUCUUCCUCUGCGUGCCACUCCCUGCCCUGACUGAUGUACAUCCUCUCCAGCUCGGCCAUGUUCCUCAGGGAGCGUGAUCGGUACAUCGCUGUCAUCUUCUUCACUUCUCUUCACCAGAGGCCGAGCGAAACUGCUGUGUGUUCUCUGACUCCUCGGUCUGCAGUCUGAGCUGCUAAACAAGAAAGACCAAUCCACCAGGGGGCGCCACUGUCCUGUCCCUGCACCGACAGCUGUCUCCAUCUGUGGUGGGCGAUUAGGUUUCUGUCCAUCAGCUCUGAGGAGGCAACCUGGCAGAAAAACUCCAGCACAGAGUCAUCCAACAUGUUUGUCCACCCACUCCCGUCUCACCGGACUCACUGAACAGCUACACUUUCCUCUAAGUCUUAUUCAACCGCACAAGCUCGCCAAGAUCUUAUCCACAGGCGGAAACUCGUACUGCCACAAGUCUUUUGUAACUGAUCAACAUGGCAGGUUAUGUCACAGUGAUACAGAUUUAGGAAGAGAGUGCAAGUGAUAACUUUCUCUAUCUGAAAACUGUCUUGAUAAAGAUGUGGAAAUCUUGUCACAGAAUUAUCUAGAUGAAUGGUUUUUUUUUGUUUUUUUAAAGUUCCCAAUGAUCAAACUGCUGUGUCACCUACAGAGAAAGAACACAAAAGCAAGAAAAUGUAAUUAUGCAAUCGCACUGUUUACAAUCACGACGCACUUCUGUGUUGAAAUUGUCCUGUUUUAACUUCCAUAAUAAAAUCUGAUUAAAUAUCAGUCACAUAGUCUGAGAUGAUCAUAUUCAACAUAUAGUAGAAUAUGAAUAUAAACACACUGCUGCCUCCA